AUACGUAGGUGGCAAGCGUUAUCCGGAUUUACUGGGUGUAAAGGGCGUGUAGGCGGGACUGCAAGUCAGAUGUGAAAAUUAUGGGCUCAACCCAUAACCUGCAUUUGAAACUGUGGUUCUUGAGUGAUGGAGAGGCAGGCGGAAUUCCGUGUGUAGCGGUGAAAUGCGUAGAUAUACGGAGGAACACCAGUGGCGAAGGCGGCUUACUGGACUGUAACUGACGUUGAGGCUCGAAAGCGUGGGGAGC
rnacentral:rRNA from 1 species